UACGUAGGGGGCAAGCGUUGUCCGGAUUUAUUGGGCGUAAAGAGCGUGUAGGCGGCCAUACAGGUCCGUUGUGAAAACUCGAGGCUCAACCUCGAGACGUCGGUGGAAACCGUUUGGCUAGAGUCCGGAAGAGGAGAGUGGAAUUCCCGGUGUAGCGGUGAAAUGCGCAGAUAUCGGGAAGAACACCCGUGGCGAAGGCGGCUCUCUGGGACGGUACUGACGCUGAGACGCGAAAGCGUGGGGAGCGAACAGG
rnacentral:rRNA from 1 species